rnacentral:snoRNA from 1 species
AUCUAUAAGGAACUCAAACAAAUUUACAAGAGAAAAACAACCCCAUUAAGAAGUGGGCAAAGUACGGUCUUUGGGGAACAUGGAUGCUUAUUGCCUCUGCCUUCCUUGGCUGCCUACAUGG